UCUUAUGGAGAGUUUGAUCCUGGCUCAGGACGAACGCUGGCGGCAUGCCUAAUACAUGCAAGUCGAGCGAACUGUUGGAAGCUUGCUUCCUUCAG
rnacentral:rRNA from 1 species